GAGUUUGAUCGUGGCUCAGAAUAAACGCUGGCGGCGUGCCUAACACAUGCAAGUCGAGCGAGUAAAGUUCCUUCGGGAACUAGUAAAGCGGCGAACGGUUGAGUAACACGUGAGAAUCGUACCCUUCAGUGAGGAAAUACCACCGAGAAAUCCGGUGUUAAUACUGUCAUACGUACCCUUUCGGGGAGUAAAGGUGGCUUUAAAUGCUGCCGCUGAUGGAUGAGCUUGCGAGCUAUCAGUUAGUUGGUGAGGUAAUGGCGUUCACCAAGGCUAUGACGGCUAUCCGGCCUGAGAGGGUGUA
rnacentral:rRNA from 1 species